GGCAAUCCAGUACAGUUGCCAAGGAUACAUAAAAGUUGCUACCCUUCCCCCUAUAUUCAUGACAGGGGCUUAGUACGAAGGGCUGGUGGCUGGGAUUUGGGGCUGGGUAUGAAAGGCUGCUGGCUGGGAUGUGUGGCUGGGACGUGCGGUUAGGUAUGAAAGGCUGGUGGCUGGGAUGUGGGGCUGGUGGCUGGGACGUGUGGCUAGGUAUGAAGGGCUGGUGGCUGGGACGUGGGGCUGGGUAUGAAAGGCUGGUGGCUGGGAUGUGGGGCUGGUGGCUGGGACGUGCGGCUAGGUAUGAAGGGCUGGUGGCUGGGAUGUGUGGCUGGUGGCUGGGACGUGGGGCUGGGUAUGAAAGGCUGGUGGCUGGGAUGUGGGGCUGGUGGCUGGGACGUGUGGCUAGGUAUGAAGG